GUGAAUUUCUAGGUAUACCGGAGACAACAGGGGUCUACGAUAUAGCGUGUUUGACUGAGCAGGGAAUAUUACCAGAUGAAUCAGAUCCAGUAACAGCAUUUGCCCUAACUGAAGCUGUGUAUAGAUCACUAAUGCAAUCUGAUAGAAAUCAUCAGCCAAAGAAGAAAUUGAAGGAUUGGAUUGUGCUGUUUUUGACAUGGAUCUUGUGUUGCAUUGGUGCCUUCUUUGCAAUUCUUGCAAAUUUCUUCUCAAAAUGUAGUCAAUCUCACAACAAAAGACUCAAGUAUUAGAACUAU
rnacentral:misc_RNA from 1 species